CAUUCCUCGGGCAGACUUUAAAGGUCAUAGUUCUUAGAGUUGGGGAAAUCCGUUUGCAUAGACAAGAACCCACACAGGGAAAGCACGAAAGCAGUGGCGGGACAGUUAAGCAAGCUGUGCUGGCAAACCCACGUUCCAGAAAAUGAUGGCGGGAGGCAACAGUGAAAUGGAACCAGAGGACUGCUGGCUACUCGGAGGGAGGAAGCAAGAGGACAGUGGAAGCGCUGGAAAAUGCAAGCAGACCACGGCCCUCCUGCCCCCAUCAGAGCUAAUCCAGCCAUUAAAACUCCUCUUAGCAUUUUCA